UGCGGGGUGGAGCAGUCUGGUAGCUCGUCGGGCUCAUAACCCGAAGGUCGCAGGUUCGAAUCCUGCCCCCGCGA
rnacentral:tRNA from 1 species